CUGACUGGUUGAAACUGUUGAUUUUCAUGUUCUGGUUCUUUACAUGCUUUCCUGCAGCAUCCCCUGAGGUGUGUGUUGAGGAAGAAAUCUGU
rnacentral:lncRNA from 1 species